rnacentral:lncRNA from 1 species
CAGACUUUCUUUUUCACAUUUCCCACAUACCUUUGUAAUUUUCCAGUUAUAUUCCAUUGGAAACAUCCAAGUUUGGUUAAAUAUCAGCAACAGAAAACAGGAUACCUACCUAGAAAUCCAAAGGAGAUCAGAAUGUGUGGGUGACCAGGAUUCAGAGUCUUCAAAUAAUACAGCCAGAAGCAUUGUUUGCUCAGGACAGCACUUCUGACCACAUAUCUCCAAAGUACUCUGAAGCUUGUUUUCUUUCAGGAACAAAAAGUCAGCCAGUACUGUUGCAUCCAUUGGCCUGAUCUCUCUUGAAAUGCAUCCAUACAAGUGUGUUCUAAAACUGAAGAAUAGUCUGGAAGCAGCUUAAUGGGCAAUUAUUUCUAUUUUGAUUGUGUACUACACUCAUC